GCACAUAUAACAUGUAAUGGUGAGAGCUGAUAGGCCAAAGCAUAUAUUCAAGUUAUCUUGAUAAAUUAACAUCUAAAUGCAAAGCUAUAAAAUGGUACAAUAUUGUGGGCAUAUCAGCACAGUAAAUCUGUGAUAGCCAAACUCACUUGUCUUAGAGUUUUGCACCUAUAAAAAUAACAAUAAAAUGAAACUUGUACAUUACAUUUCUUCUAAUGGCUACUUGAAUAACUGUUCUUCCGAAUAUGAGAAUACUGGAAAAGGGAAUUAGAAGCAAUUAUAUUAGAUAUAUAUAUCUUUAUUCGAAGAUCAGAAAAUAAAGUGACUAUGUAAAACCUUGUGAAGCCCCUAACAAAAUAUUCCAUAAUAUGAUUGAGAUUGCUUCUAAUGAUACAUUUUAUAUACAACCGAAAAAAUAACCUCUGUAUCAAUUAUUAGGCUUAGUGUAAACCACAAAAGAGAUAAAAAUCUACCUUACUACUGAAUGGUAAUCCGAUAAAAAUAUAAUUUAUACAGAGGUUAUUUUUUCUGUUCUUCUUGUAUACUAGCUUUAGUAGGGCGGAACAGCCAUAUGGUGAAACUUUGCGUUUAUUUUCUGAUCUUUGAAUGAAGAUAUGUGGCCAAUAAAAUCAUUUCUAAUUCUCUUUUCAGGUCUUCCCAUGUUUGGAAGAGUAGUAAUUAUUACUUUUUUAAUUUAAAAGACCUUUUUUUUUUGUUGGCUUGAGAAAUAAGUUGUUUUUUAUUGAUUAUUUUAUAUGUAGGGUCCUAAUUACCAAGGAGUCUAUACACACACCUAUAAUAAGAGAGUAAAAUAUCCCAGAGCUUCCAAACUGACAUAUAUAGCCAAUAUUUCACUAAUUUAAACCAUAUUUUUUUCAUAAAUAGCUGUUGGUGCAUGAUUCAUCAAUCUAGAUUUUCAUACAAGAAAAGGUCUAACCUAUUUGUUUACAAAUGUUGUCUGGGUGCCCUACAUAUUUUCUUUGGCCUAAAAUCCUUAGAAACAUGGGGCAUAUUUUAGUUCAAAUUGGUAAUGUGGGUCCAGAAUAUUAUGUGUCAUUAUGUUUGAGGGGUUUGUUAACUUUGCUAAUCUAUUUCACAACCUUUUCAUAGAAGGCAAUUACAGAGUUUUGAUUGAUGACAUACAAUUUAAGAUUCAAUGUCUUUCAAAUAUUUGUAUGUACUUACUGACUGCUUUUUCAUUUAGAUAUUUGGAUUCCCAAGUAUUUUGGCAUGACUAUUUGAAGUAUCCCCUUUAAGGAAAUUUAGAAGUGCUAUCAGUAUAAUUUAUUCAAC